GACGAACGCUGGCGGCGUGCUUAACACAUGCAAGUCGUACGGUAAGGCCCUUUCGGGGGUACACGAGUGGCGAACGGGUGAGUAACACGUGAGUAACCUGCCCACAACUUUUGGAUAACGCUAGGAAACUGGUGCUAAUACUGGAUAUGUGCUCCUGCUGCACGGGGGGGGUUGGAAAGCUCCGGCGGUUGUGGAUGGACUCGCGGCCUAUCAGCUUGUUGGUGGGGUAGUGGCCUACCAAGGCGGCGACGGGUAGCCGGCCUGAGAGGGUGACCGGCCACAUUGGGACUGAGAUACGGCCCAGACUCCUACGGGAGGCAGCAGUGGGGAAUAUUGCACAAUGGGCGCAAGCCUGAUGCAGCAACGCCGCGUGCGGGAUGACGGCCUUCGGGUUGUAAACCGCUUUCAGCAGGGACGAAGCUUUUUGUGACGGUACCUGCAGAAGAAGCACCGGCUAACUACGUG
rnacentral:rRNA from 1 species